rnacentral:rRNA from 1 species
UACGUAGGGUCCGAGCGUUGUCCGGAGUUACUGGGCGUAAAGCGCGCGCAGGCGGCGGUGCUGGCCCGGCGUGAAAGCCCACGGCUCAACCGUGGAGGGUCAUUGGAAACUGGGGGGACUUGAGUACAGAAGAGGAAAGCGGAAUUCCACGUGUAGCGGUGAAAUGCGCAGAUAUCGGGAGGAACACCAGUGGCGAAGGCGGCUUUCUGGACAUUUACUGACGCUGAGACGCGAAAGCGUGGGGAGCAAACAGGG